CCGCGUGUGUGAAGAAGGCCUUCGGGUUGUAAAGCACUUUCAGUAAGGAGGAAAGGGUUAAGUGUUAAUAGCACUUAGCUGUGACGUUACUUACAGAAGAAGCACCGGCUAACUCCGUGCCAGCAGCCGCGGUAAUACGGAGGGUGCGAGCGUUAAUCGGAAUUACUGGGCGUAAAGCGUACGCAGGCGGUUUGUUAAGCGAGAUGUGAAAGCCCCGGGCUCAACCUGGGAACUGCAUUUCGAACUGGCAAACUAGAGUGUGAUAGAGGGUGGUAGAAUUUCAGGUGUAGCGGUGAAAUGCGUAGAGAUCUGAAGGAAUACCGAUGGCGAAGGCAGCCACCUGGGUCAACACUGACGCUCAUGUACGAAAGCGUGGGGAGCAAACAGGAUUAGAUACCCUGGUAG
rnacentral:rRNA from 1 species